UACAGAGGUCUCAAGCGUUGUUCGGAUUCAUUGGGCGUAAAGGGUGCGUAGGCGGCGCGGUAAGUCGGGUGUGAAAUCUCGGAGCUUAACUUCGAAACUGCAUUCGAUACUGCCGUGCUUGAGGACUGGAGAGGAGACUGGAAUUUACGGUGUAGCGGUGAAAUGCGUAGAUAUCGUAAGGAAGACCAGUGGCGAAGGCGGGUCUCUGGACAGUUCCUGACGCUGAGGCACGAAGGCCAGGGGGAGCAAAACGGGG
rnacentral:rRNA from 1 species